rnacentral:rRNA from 1 species
AGUUUAUCUGGCUCAGAUUGAACGCUGGCGGAAUGCUUUACACAUGCAAGUCGAACGGUAGAGGGGGCAACCCCUUGAGAGUGGCGAACGGGUGAGUAAUAUAUCGGAACGUGCCCAGUCGUGGGGAUAACGUAGCGAAAGUUACGCUAAUACCGCAUACGAUCUACGGAUGAAAGCGGGGGACUCGCAAGAGCCUCGCGCGAUUGGAGCGGCCGAUAUCAGAUUAGGUAGUUGGUGGGGUAAAGGCUCACCAAGCCAACGAUCUGUAGCUGGUCUGAGAGGACGACCAGCCACACUGGAACUGAGACACGGUCCAGACUCCUACGGGAGGCAGCAGUGGGGAAUUUUGGACAAUGGACGCAAGUCUGAUCCAGCCAUUCCGCGUGCAGGAUGAAGGCCCUCGGGUUGUAAACUGCUUUUGUACGGAACGAAAAGGUUUGUCUUAAUACGAUGAGCUCAUGACGGUACCGUAAGAAUAAGCACCGGCUAACUACGUG